AGCAGUGGCGGGGGGGGCCAAUCAGCUGCAGGCAGGGGCGUGCCGAGCGGAUUGACAGUGACGUGGAGUGUAAAACAAGGCUCGUAAGGCUCCAGGCCACAACACAGGUGAGCCUGGGCACUGUGCCUGCACCCUUGAUGCCAACAGCAGCAGUCGUGCAGUCACAGCAUGGGUGAACCCGCGCAUGAUGCAGACGUUGCCGAUAGCGGCAGCGACAGGAGAGCGUCAGUGGCACAGCAAGGCAGAACCACAGGGACAUGGAGCUUGGAUAACAGUCGCUUCUCCCUCAGCUUCCCGCCCUUCCUCUUCACCUGCACAGCCGAGACGGAAUUCACUUCUGCCACCGUUCCCUCCCACUCUCCGUCCCUGCUGGAUGUUCCAGCUGGCAGUGCCCGCAUCACCUCAGCUAUGGCUCUCAUCUGUUUUAAGGUGUCCGGCACCAGCCAACAGGUCACUAAAAAGACUUUAUCAGUUGCGUCCACUCCAUGGAUCACGACAGCAAGGCUUGUAGAGCCUGUUUGUAUAUGUAUUUUAUCCACUAUUUGCACAAAACGAGGGACCAUACCUGCACAAAGCAUUUUCUUCGGUAGAAACUUGUGUCCCUGUGUCCAGUGGCUUUUUCUAUUUACACGGUCUAGACCUUUGCUGCUGCUGGCAGGUCGCCUUGGCUGCCCUCCUCCACUGGGGUUCCAUCUCUGCCUCUAUCCCCCAAGGCCCGGCUAUUACUGUUCACGUCGGGGUCACCACUUGGUGCAGUACAGAUGGAUACAUGAUAUGACACCAGAGGUUCACGUGACAACUUUUAUUGAGUGCAGUUCCCUUUACAGUUUUCAAAAGCCCACACAGUUAUCUCUAAUUGGCUGAAUUUAACUGCCACUUGGCCUAGUGGCCAAUAGCUGUCUGAGUCCCCAACAGCCUAAACUGGCUCCUAAUGGCCUGGACUGGUCGAGUUAUAUAAUUAGGGUUAUCUAUAACUGUAAGGCUCCCAGGCCAGAUGUUAGCCACCACAAUGAAACAAAUAUAUUUAUCUAAAGAUAGUGCCAAGUCUAACAUAAGUUGAACUUUGUUAACACAGUAGGAUGAGACAGCUUUCACAGUCCGUAUAUCUAAAUUGUAUCUUACCAACUUGUCUACAGGAAUACUACAGGUAAACAUGUCAAGUGCCUUUUUAAAGUCAAGGUACAGAGCAUUUGUAACUCUUCUUUCAUCCACAGAAUAAGUAGUUUCAUCACAGAAAGCAUCAUGUUAGCAAAGUACAAUUCACCCUUGGUAAAUCCGAGCUGGGUUUUCCCAGCCAUUUUCUUUCUUGUCUAUCACAUUUUUGGAAAAAACUUCCAUAAACACUUGUCCCACAACCUCCCCCAAAAAUACAGGGAGACUGAAAACCCUGCAUUUUCCCAAAUUUUUAUUUCUGUAGAUGGGUAUAAUAUUUCCAGUCACUUAGGCCUUCAAUGACCUUUCAAAUAAGAUAGAUGGUCAACCAAUUCAGAUUGAUCCCACCAAAUCCUGUUCAUGUGUAUGUGUCCAACUGCUACAGCUGGAUCUUAACUCAGACCUACACUGUUUUGCUGUUAACUUUAUUGUUGCUUCUUGGCAUAGAAACUUGGGACCUGAACUUUCCCAUGCAGACCAAGGCAAAAAGAAAAUGGAAUUACUUCUACCUUUACUGUGCUGUCCACAAUCAAGCAGCGGCAGAUCUACAUUUUCCUCGACCUUAUGUUUGGUACUAACAUACCUACAGGAGUUUUUUUCGUUACUCUUGUCACCUCCCAGUUCAAACUCCAGCUGAACUUCUUCCAUCCUAAACAUAUUUCUGCAUAACUGAGCGCUUGGGAAGUCUGUCCCAUUUUCCAAGGGAAAAACAACUUCUCCAAAAACAUAAAAAGUAUGUUCAAGAGAUUAAAAGAUAGGACUUUUUUUUACAAUGAAAAUAAAUAUUCAAAUCAAAAUGUUUAAAAGGUAAAGAAUACACAAAAUAAACUUAGAACAUACUGACUAUUCUAUACUGUACUCCUAAAUAUUUUCAAGAUUCAAACUGACUCUACCAAUACUCCUAAAUCAGUUACAAACUCAGAACACUAAGAAAUGAAACAUCGUGUCAGAUGUAAGAAAUGAAACAUCAUGUCACAAGAGAUCUGAAAGUUAUGGACAAAAAGUGAAAAAACAUACCAAAAGAUCUACUAAAUAAAGAACUACUAGCAACUUGCUUGUGAGGAUCAGCUUCUUUUAGGAGUACUACUGAAAAGGAAGAUCUUAUAAAGCAGUACAACUUCACAUUUUCUGAGCUCUGAGAUUUUAUAUUUAGAUUUGAAAUCAAAUGUGCAUGUAACAGGUAAAAUUUAUAUAGAAAUAUCAUUUCCUCAAAAAACAAUCUGUAAAAGAAUAAUGUAUUGUUGUUAAGACCCGGCUUUGCAUAACUUUUUGCUUGUUUGUUUUUGUUUUGUUUUCUAAUUCCUUAAGGAUUGGUAAAAAAUAAGAUUCACAUAAAGUUUGCCCAUGCUGCAGAGUACCUUGAAACUUUGCAAUGAGGAAAGAAUCUCACAACAUUUAUUCCAAGUUUCUUCAUACUCUCACAUGUUCUCAUAUUUAAUUUUUCCUUAAUAUUUAUUUCUUAAUUUGAAGUUAAACAGACAUGAACACCACUUCUGUGUAGCAAACAUGAAUUGGAUCUCUACAUUUUAGUGCAUUUCUGUUGUGGUUUAACACAAGCUAACACCUAAGUAUACCACACAGCCACUCACUCACUCCACCUCCCUUGCCAGUGGAAUGGGAAUGAGAAUCUGGAAAAGAGUUGAGAUAAGGACAAUUAAAUAACGAGAUUCAAAUAAGAAUAAUCAUCUUCAUAAUGACAACAACAAUAGCAAUUGAUAUAACUACAAAGAGAGAGAAAAAUUAAGGCCAAGGAGAAAAACCACAUGAUGUACAGUGGCUCACCACUCGCCCCGCCUGUCUCCCAACAGCAAUCAGCAGCUCUCAGCCAGCUGCCCCCAGCUAUAAACUGGGCAUGAUAUUCCAUCGUAGGAAAUAUCCCUUUGGCCAGUUUGGGUCAGCUGUCCUGGCUGUGAUCCCUCUCAGCUUCUUGUGCACCUGCAAAGCGUUUGGCUUAGGGUAAGCACUACUUAGCAACAACCAAAACAUCAGUCUGUUGUCAUCAUUAUUCUCAUGCUGAAUCCAAACAACAGCACUGCAACAGCUACUAGGAAGAAAAAUAACUCUGUCCCAUCCAAAACAGAAACCAUGUAAUGAUUUCAACAAAGGUUGGAAACAAAAAACACAAUGGUAAAGAAAUCAGUAAGAUACCACUAAAAUAUUAAGCCAGUGCUUCAAAUCUCAUAUAAAAUGGAAUGGAGACCUUCAAAAGUUACAUAAAAGUAUGUAGAACUCAAUUUUCCAUAUGUACAAAAUUCUUAGAAAGUCAGCAACUUGCAUAAUCCAAAAUUAUUUGAAACUAAUAUAAAUAAGGGCCCAUAUGUUCAUGAGCAUUAGGAAGAUAUUUGAAUAUGCAACACAUAAGGAACCAAAAAAGCAAAACCAGAGCACUAACACAAGAUUCAGCUUUAACAGUGAAUUAAUAUACUAAGAUCAGGCUCUGAAGUGCCAAAGAGCUACAAACAAACAGUCACUGGCUGACAACACAGACCUUGGCCCUAUGCCCAUCUAAUUGGGUUAUCUCUCAGCCUUUGGUACUGUUACACAAACAUACUAAGGAGAUUAUAACAUAUUUUUCAUAACUGCCUGUUAAAUAUCACUUUAUCUAAGAAAUUAGUUCACUAUAUAUGAUUAAAGCACCUUUCAUAACUUAAGAGAAAGCACCUUUCAUAACUUAAGAGUAACCAUCUACUUUAAGUUGUAGCCAUUUGCUUUACUUAAGAGCAACCAUCAAUCCUGUGGCACACUGUACAGACACAAAUCUUUGCAACCAUCACUUGAACUGAGUACAAAGGAAAAUGCAUCUACAUAUAAUAAUAAUAAAAAGCAAGCUGUAUUCUAAAUUUCAAAACAAAAUGGGAAAGAUGCUCACGGCAGUAUUUUAGUGGAUGGAAAAACAGUUUGAUGUGAAGGCUGCCACAUAUAUUUCCUACAUAAGAAAGUAAUUUAAAUUAAUAAAACAAAUUUUUUCAUGUAUAUUCCUGAAGUAACCUACAUGCAGAUAUAAGAUUUUUAAGCCAAAAUGGAUAUUGAUAUCCUUUCAUGUAAGAUUGGCUAUCAUAAUUUAUUAACAUGACUUGAUAUCGGCAGUUUUUGCACAUAUGCCCUCUGUAUCACAGAAACAUUCCUGAGAACCAUUCAACUGUGAAAAACAAACAAAAUGUCUGCAAUUCCUAUAUAUUUAAGCCUGUGGCAAGGUGCCAGUCCUAAACACUCCCUGUGGUAAAAUGGCAGCAUUAUAGCUCCAUUUAUGUAAGUUAUCUUACAUAUCUUGCAAUAAUUUACACACAGAUCAGCAUAUUUAAAGCACUAUCUGCUAUAUCAGUUCUCCUAAACAGGAUAUUUCAAAGGUACAACUUCAGGGAUAGAGGGGGAGGGGUUGCCUAAUUUUUUUCCUUUAAGCUUUUGAAUUUUGAGACUUUCUGAAAGGCCCAGGUGCUAUUUCACACAGGUUUCCACCUAAAAUCCAGGAGUCCUGGAAUAUAAACAACUAACUUCAUAUUUAAAGGUAUAACAAUCUUCUUCCAAUGCCUAUGAAAAUACAGACCAGCAUAGAUUAAAGUCAGAUGGCUCUUUUUUCCAUACUGUGUGUCCAGCUCUAAAUUUAGACACAUACAGCAAUAUUCCUCCUGCUAACCUCUUCAGCUAAAAAAAAAAAAAAAAGAUAGUUUACACCUCACACAUGUUUCCUCUACUCAUCUUCACUCACAGAAAAAAAGAAUCAUUAAAAAGAUACAAACCUCAUCUCUUUAAAUGUAAAGUCAAUUUUUUCCCAAACACCAACCAGCUUUCUUUGUGAAACUUUCAUCAUCCAGUCACUCCCCAGACCCUAUUCUCAUACAGGUCUGUUACAACAGGACUUCCUAAAGUUUUCCCCACAACACAUGAAACAGACCAGUUGUGCUCAUUUUGGCUGGGGUAGAGUUAAUUUUUUUUCUUUUCAGCUGGAAUGGGGCUGUGUUUUGGAUUUGUGCUGAGCACAGUGCUGAUAAUAUAGAGAUGUUCUUGUUAUUGCUGAGUAGGCAAGGCCUUUUCUGCUUUUUGUACUGCUAUGCUGGUGAGGAGACUGAGGGGCAUUGGAAAUUGGGAUGGGACACAGACAGGACAGGUGACUACAACUGACCAAGGGGACAUUCCAGACCAUAUGACAUCAUGCUCAGAAUAUAUAGUGUGGUGGAAGAAGGAGGAAAGGAAGAACAUUUGGAGUGAUGCUAUUUUUCUUUCCAAGUCACUGUCACACUUGAUGUGGCCCUGCUCUCCCGCCGAAGGCUGAACGCCUGCCUGUCCAUGGGAAGUGGUGAAUGAAUGCCUUGUUUUAGUUUUCUUGUGUUUCUCUUGAUUUCCCACUUAAACUGCCUUUAUUUCAGUCCAUAGGUUUUCUACCUUUUACUCUUCCAAUUCACUCUUUAAUUCCACUGGUGAGGACAUGAGCAAGCAGUUGUGCGUGCUUAGCUCCCUGCUGGGGUUAAACCACAACACCCGUAAUGGCGGAAAAGUACGACGACAGGACAGUUACAUGUUUCCAAAUAGUAAAUUAAGACAUUAUUUUUGAUUCUGUACUAUGUCUUGGUUCCACUGAUUUCUGUCAGGCUUACAAAUCAGGACUACCAGAUGACCAGCACAAAGGCUGCAUAAUUUUUGACUCUCAGAUGGAUAUAGAUUCAAUGGAGAAGAUCCACAAAGAGAAAAUGCUGUUAGCAGUAGUGAACAUCAGCUGGUAAGUUGCUAGGACACCCAACUACGGACCUUUAAAUGAACCAAAUCAUGACAAACAUGUGUGCUCCAAGCUUAGAGUAAUACAAAAUAUCCCAGCUAGAGGACAAGAUCGUGAGUUUACAACUCACAUCAUGGUAAUGAUAAAUACCAGCACUUAAUAAAAAACAAUGCAUGUGGCAA